rnacentral:rRNA from 1 species
AUUGAACGCUGGCGGAAUGCUUUACACAUGCAAGUCGAACGGCAGCACGGACUUCGGUCUGGUGGCGAGUGGCGAACGGGUGAGUAAUGUAUCGGAACGUGCCCAGUCGUGGGGGAUAACGUAGUGAAAAUUACGCUAAUACCGCAUACGAUCUAUGGAUGAAAGCGGGGGAUCGCAAGACCUCGCGCGAUUGGAGCGGCCGAUAUCAGAUUAGGUAGUUGGUGGGGUAAAGGCCCACCAAGCCAACGAUCUGUAGCUGGUCUGAGAGGACGACCAGCCACACUGGAACUGAGACACGGUCCAGACUCCUACGGGAGGCAGCAGUGGGGAAUUUUGGACAAUGGGCGAAAGCCUGAUUCAGCCAUUCCGCGUGCAGGAUGAAGGCCCUCGGGUUGUAAACUGCUUUUGUACAGAACGAAAAGGUUUCUACUAAUACUAGGAGCUCAUGGCGGUACUGUAAGAAUAAGCACCGGCUAACUACGAGCCAGCCGCCGCCGUAA